UACGAAGGGUGCAAGCGUUACUCGGAAUUACUGGGCGUAAAGCGUGCGUAGGUGGUUCGUUAAGUCUGUCGUGAAAGCCCCGGGCUCAACCUGGGAAUGGCGAUGGAUACUGGCUCGCUAGAGUGCGGUAGAGGAGAGUGGAAUUCCUGGUGUAGCGGUGGAAUGCGCAGAUAUCAGGAGGAACACCAAUAGCGAAGGCAGCUCGCUGGGACGUUACUGACACUGAGGCGCGAAAGCGUGGGGAGCGAACAGG
rnacentral:rRNA from 1 species